rnacentral:rRNA from 1 species
AACGAACGCUGGCGGCAUGCCUAACACAUGCAAGUCGAACGAGAUCUUCGGGUCUAGUGGCGCACGGGUGCGUAACGCGUGGGAAUCUGCCCUUUGGUUCGGAAUAACAGUUGGAAACGACUGCUAAUACCGGAUGAUGACGAAAGUCCAAAGAUUUAUCGCCAGAGGAUGAGCCCGCGUAGGAUUAGCUAGUUGGUGUGGUAAAGGCGCACCAAGGCGACGAUCCUUAGCUGGUCUGAGAGGAUGAUCAGCCACACUGGGACUGAGACACGGCCCAGACUCCUACAGGAGGCAGAAGUGGGGAAUAUUGGACAAUGGGCGAAAGCCUGAUCCAGCAAUGCCGCGUGAGUGAUGAAGGCCUUAGGGUUGUAAAGCUCUUUUACCCGGGAUGAUAAUGACAGUCCCGGGAGAAUAAGCUCCGGCUAACUCCGUGCCAGCAGCCGCCGUAA